rfam:Oryza sativa (indica cultivar-group) chromosome 1, whole genome shotgun sequence.
UUUAAGUGUAGGUGUGUGUUUCCGUGUACUACGUUUGACCGUCUGUCUUAUCUGAAUUUUUUUAUGAUUAAUAUUUUUAUUGUUAUUAGAUGAUAAAAUAUAAAUAGUAUUUUAUACGUGACUUUUUUUUAUUUUCUCAUAAAUUUUUUAAAUAAGACGGAUGGUCAAACCUUAGAUACGGAAACCCACAACUACACUUGAA